rnacentral:lncRNA from 1 species
GAUCAUUACAAGUCCAAAGAGAUAGUGCACUUAAAGCUCAUCAUGGAGAUAAAUCUCAAAAAGGACAUGAUAGUGUGAUUAUUCAAAAUUCAACCUCCUCCAGCUCUUUACAUCAACGUCCCAACAUGAAGGGGAUCAAUGGAGAUGACUUAGUUGAAAUGCAAAUGGAAGAGCUUCAAUCUAGUGCGAAUGAUGGUUUGAACAUGCAAAAAAAUAGCCCAAACGAAGGGCAUGCUCAGGCUUGCUCUAUGAUAUUAUAAUGAGUGUUUUUU